rnacentral:rRNA from 1 species
UACGUAGGGGGCAAGCGUUGUCCGGAUUUAUUGGGCGUAAAGAGCGUGUAGGCGGUUAGGUAGGUCCGUUGUGAAAACUCGAGGCUCAACCUCGAGACGCCGAUGGAAACCAUCUGACUAGAGUCCGGAAGAGGAGAGUGGAAUUCCUGGUGUAGCGGUGAAAUGCGCAGAUAUCGGGAGGAACACCUGUGGCGAAAGCGGCGCACUGGACCACAUCUGACGCUGAGGCGCGAAAGCUAGGGGAGCAAACAGG